GUGAUGAAUUAAGUAAUUAAAGUGUUAAUUACAGCGUUUGUUGUCUUUGCGGCGGCCUUGCUGUGGCAGGGUCGUGCUCCCCAGCCCCGUCCCGGUGCCCGCCCCGUGUGGCCGCGCUGCCCCCGCUGUGGGCAGCUCCAAAAUCAGUUCUGCGGCGUGAGGCGAAACGCCACAAAGUGAAAAAAUAGGAAAAUCCUCCAUAAAAUUCCUAAAUUCCUCACAAGAUGCCGCCCUGAUGUGACCUCAGUGCAGGCGAUUCACAGAUUCCCAGUGAGCGCACAGCAGGGCGGCUCACAGCCACCAACACGAGCCCAAAAUUCAAAUAAAUAUGAUAUUUUCCCCCUUUUCCACCACCCCAGCCUGCAGCCUAGCCGGCCAGCCCCACCUCCCCACCUCCUCACCCACCUGGCCAGCAGCGGCUCUCCCCGCGCUCCUCACCCGCAGCGCGCCGCCCCCACAGCCCCCAAUUUUCCCCCAAACCCCCUGAAUCCACCCCAUUUCUCCCCAGCCGCUGGCGGAGCCGCUGCCCGCCCUGUGCCCGUGCCCCGGGGCGGGGCGGGGAGGGACCGGGGCCGGGGCUGGGGCCGCCGCUCGCUUCCUGGUGGCUCCCGGCGCCGCCCCGCCGACAGCCGCGGGAGGGGGACGGGGACGGGGACAGGGCCGGGGACGGGGGCGGGGCGGGGGGGGGGGGGGCGCCGCGUGUGCGGGGCUCGCCCGCACCGGGACCCGCACCGGGACCGGCACCGGGACGGCAAACGGGGCCGCUGGCGGCCGGCGGCGGCUCGGCGGCCUGCGGGUAGGUGCUGGUGGUGGUGGUGGGGCGAGAGGGAGCCGCGUCUUGUGGCCAGGCGGGGUGGUGGGGAAGGGGGGUGCCCCCGUUGCUGGGGUGUGGGGUGGUGGGGAAGCACCCUGCCCCGAUCCCACGGGGUGUUUAGGGUGGGAAGGAUCUGCAGGGAAAAGGCUGAGCGCCUUGGAUGCCUGCUGUGGGAGAUGGCAAGGCUUGGCUGUGAGAGCACCGCGCUCGUCUCGCCCUGUGAAAGCACCGCAGACAUUGCCAUGGUAAGUGGGGCCACGCGUGGGUUCCCCGGCCCUAAAUAUCGCAGCCCGACGUGUGGUGAAGAUCCCGUCCUUCAAACGCCACGGCUACGGUGCUGUCUGCUCUGACGCAAGAGUGUUUGUCAUGCCAAUGGGAGCUGCUUGUGGUAGUAAGUUGUGCCCGACUCCUGGAGAUUCAGGGGGUGCGACCCAGGGGCUCUGUGCAGGUACGGGUUUGUGGCAGGGAAAAGGUGAGGUCUGCCUAAAAACUGGGGGUACUUCUGCACCCCAACACAAACGGGGUGUCGUUGUGUUUCUGUCCCCAUUUUCAGAA
rnacentral:lncRNA from 1 species